rnacentral:lncRNA from 1 species
GCCAACGGAUAUUUAUGACUGCAGGAGGAGAAGCACAUCAUAACAGGAGUUCUAUAGGAAUCAGCAGGAGUGAAUGGGGACAUUCAGUGAGCUGCGAGUUCAGAUCCUCAAAGGUGAAAAGAAGAAUGACAGUGGUAAGAAGAAUGAAACAGAUACUGCAGUAUCAAGAGGGAGGAUCAAAGAAGCUGAUGGCAAUCAAGGGCUAUUUUAUUGAGGGUUCAACAAGAUGGACCUAAUUUGUGCCAUAUUCAGAGUCAUCCUUGACUGGGUUCAUUGUGGGGUAGGACUGUCUCUCUACAGUCUAUAUCUGUGUUGGUGAACACAUGACAUGUGUGUUGGAAGGGCUGUUCUCUUCUCCCUCUCCAUGUGUGCCUGAGGACU